GACGAACGCUGGCGGCGUGCUUAACACAUGCAAGUCGAACGAGGCCCCUCCUUCGGGAGGGUGUUCUAGUGGCGAACGGGUGAGUAACACGUGGGCAACCUGCCCCCGGCUCUGGGAUAACCCCAAGAAAUUGGGGCUAAUACCGGAUAUGACCGCUGACCGCAUGGUCUGGUGGUGGAAAGGUUUUUCCGGCUGGGGAUGGGCCCGCGGCCUAUCAGCUUGUUGGUGGGGUAGUGGCCUACCAAGGCGACGACGGGUAGCCGGCCUGAGAGGGUGACCGGCCAGACUGGGACUGAGACACGGCCCAGACUCCUACGGGAGGAAGCAGUGGGGAAUAUUGCGCAAUGGGCGGAAGGCUGACGCAGCGACGCCGCGUGGGGGAUGACGGCCUUCGGGUUGUAAACCGCUUUUAGUAAGGAAGAAGGGGCCUUUGGGUCUUGACGGUACUUGCAGAAAAAGGACCGGCUAACUACGUGCCAGCCGCCGCCGUAACAC
rnacentral:rRNA from 1 species